AGCUGGGAGUCAUUGUGUGUCCCUACACAGGGGCCCUUGGAAGUUCUUAGUUUCGCUGCUCCUCCCCUUUAGACAUGGUCUCUCAUGCAGUCCAAACUGGUCUUAAAUGCUCAUUGGAGAAAAAGGAUGACCUUGGUGUCCUGUUCCUAGCCUUCCACUUCCUGAGUCUGGGCCAGGCUUGUGCCACCCCGACUGGUUUAUACAGUGUUCAAACCCAGCCUAGUGUGUGCAAGGCAAACACUCUACUCUUGGAGCUACAUCCCCAGCCCUCCAGCCUCUCCUUUGUGAUCCCAUUGGAAAUGACUAGAUAGUCUAAGUUCCCUUCAGGCCUUCUGAACUCCUCUUGCUCUGAACUCAAGGAGUGCACAGUCCCUGGCCAUAAUGGUGGCAAUACUUAGUUUCCUAAAUUCUGCAAUGGCAGUGGUGGUAUAGCUAGUUCCCUCCUUUCUUUGGGCCUGGCUUUGUUUCUCUGCUAGGCUGGGUGACCCCGAGCCUCUUCUGCCCUGGCUCCAUGUUCUGACGGAUGCUGACACACCUCACAAACACACCCCCACAGCUGGGACAAACUCCUCUCAUCAGACUGUGACCCCAUGCUGCACAGCAGCAAGUCAUGUGGUCUCUGUAUUGUGGAUAGUUCGCUUUGAAGCAGAGGAGGGAACACUGUAUAAGAAAUCAGAAGUCCCAGGCCCCAACGCUGGGGCUGCCUCUUCAGGGAGAUGUGACUUCAGGACAUCUGGGCUUGUGUUUGCUCAGCUGGAAAAUGGGGAUAGUAACUCUAGCCUUGCCUGUCUUACAGGGCGCCUGUGGAAGUCAGCUGAGGUCACGGGCAGGGAAGUGCCCUGCAGACAGCAAAGUCUGGUCCAAUUAUGAGGGAUUACGAUUGCUAUUAUUAUCUACCCAUAGUAACUGCUCUGGCUCUGGUGGCAACAAACACACGCCCAGACCUAGAUUCUGGGACUGAUAGAGUGAGCGUAUUCGCAUACUGGCAGGGGCCAUUAUACCAAAAGAUGACAGCAAUCUGGUUAGACAAAGGCUAGAGCCUGGCUGGGCCUCCUUUCAAACCACCUACACCCACAGCACAUAUGCUGGCUCACCUGGCACCACAGGCUGGCUCCAACAGAGCCACCUGGUAAAGGCAGGUAGAGACACUGACAGUUGCCAUAAUGGUCCAGCAAGCCUGGGAUGGGGACAUUGUAUAGUUGUAUAUGGGGGACAUGGACUUGCUCUACAGUCCAAGAAUCUCCAGAGAUGACAUAGACACCUGGCACAAUAGAGCCAUCUGCUGAGCCUGAGGGGAGGGGUGAGGCUCCUGCGGGCCCUUCUCAUUCAGCAGCCCCACCUGCCUGGCUAGCCUUCUACUUGCAGGCUGCGGAUACCAUUUAUUGCCCAUCCUAGGUUUUCAGGCCUUUGUUUUUGCCUUACCUCUCCUGCUAGCUGCUUCCUUGUUCAGUCCCCUCUCUGGGAAAGCCCUGGCUGUGCUCUCUUGGAUUAUAGUUUGCAGACUAAUUGUCCUCAGCUGUGACUCUCAAAUCAACCAUUUCAGCAUCACCUGUGAACGAAUGAGAGCUGCAAGGUGCAAGCCCCUGCUGGACCUACAGAGUUGAGAUCUCUGGGGUUGGGACCCUGGGAGUCUGUCACUCAGCCCAGGAGGGUGGGGUCUCCAUCCCGCUCUUACAUGAUUCCCUAGGGUCUGCAGUGGCAUGAAGUAGGAGGAAUGCCAUGGAUGGGAGCCAAAGGCAUCAUCACGUCCCACCAGGGAGCCCAGGGCCAGGCAGAUGGGGUGUGGAGUUGGGUGACAGACAGAAGGGCUGUGCUUGUCUCUGAGAAUACACAGAGAGAUUUGUGGAGGUGAGCUCUGCACCCUGCCACCCAUGAGCUGGAAGGGGCUGCUGUUUGGGGAGGCUACCUCUGUGACCAGGGCGAUCUCUGUGACCUCCAUGCUGCCCUUUCCUCUGGCUUCAGAAACUUUGUGGCCGAGAUGCACUGAGCAUUGUCUGUUGGCUAAGACACUCUAUGAAUUAUUUUAAUUCUUAUAAUUGCCCCAAAAGGCACUGAUAUUUUCAUGAUUCUCUCUUAUUAAGGACUGAAUUGAAGCUUGGAGAUGCUAAGUCACUGGCUUGAAGUCUUCCAGUUUGCUGUUCAGGGUCCUUCAAGGCGAAGAGGGUGGAAUGAGCAGUGGCUUCCAUAUGUGCUGCUCUGCGGUGUUGCAUGGGUUUCUCCCGCUGCGAGUUCAAGGGUGUUUAUUUAGAAUGAAUGUUGGGAUCCGUAUAGCUCUUCACAUGUGGAUAUCGAAGGCACAUCCAGAGAGAGAGAGAGA
rnacentral:lncRNA from 1 species